GGGGACAACAGUUGGAAACGACUGCUAAUACCGCAUGACGCAUGACCGGGGCAUCCCGGGCAUGUCAAAGAUUUUAUCGCUGGAAGAUGGCCUCGCGUCUGAUUAGCUAGAUGGUGGGGUGACGGCCCACCAUGGCGACGAUCAGUAGCCGGACUGAGAGGUUGACCGGCCACAUUGGGACUGAGAUACGGCCCAGACUCCUACGGGAGGCAGCAGUGGGGAAUAUUGGGCAAUGGACGCAAGUCUGACCCAGCAACGCCGCGUGAAGGAAGAAGGCUUUCGGGUUGUAAACUUCUUUUGUCAGGGAAGAGUAGAAGACGGUACCUGACGAAUAAGCCACGGCUAACUACGUGCCAGCAGCCGCGGUAAUACGUAGGUGGCAAGCGUUGUCCGGAUUUACUGGGUGUAAAGGGCGUGCAGCCGGGCCGGCAAGUCAGAUGUGAAAUCUGGAGGCUUAACCUCCAAACUGCAUUUGAAACUGUAGGUCUUGAGUACCGGAGAGGUUAUCGGAAUU
rnacentral:rRNA from 1 species